AUGCACAUAUGGGUCCCAUAUGGGCUGUUUCUGGGCAAACCCAUAUGGGUAAGCCCAUAUGGGAGUCAUUUGGGACCAAUAUGGGCUAGCCCAUAUGGGAAUGCCCACAAGGGUCCCAUAUAGGUCCCAUAUGAUUGCGCUAUCGGGAAAAAUAUGUAAACUUGUAUUUAUUUGAUAAAAAACUCAUUUCUUAAAACGUAUGUAGGACUAACAUGAUCUAAACUGCUAAUAUUCUACCCAAAAAUAGAAAAUCAAUGCAUAAGCAAAUAAUAUGCGGCCCAUAUGGGUCCCAUACGGGUCCCAUAUGGGACUCAUUUGGGAGCUAUAUGGGCUUGCCCAUGUGGGAAUGGCGAUAAGGGUCCCAUAUAGGUCCCAUAUUAUUGCGCUAUCACGAAAAAGAUGUAAACUUGUAUUUAUUUGAUUAAAAACUCAUUUCUUAAAACGUAUGCUGGACUAACUUGAUCUAAACUGCUAAUAUUUUACCCAAAAAUAGAAAAUCAAUGGAUAAGCAAAUAAUAUGCUGUCCAUAUAGGUCCCAUAUGGGUCCCAUUUGUGCCGCCCAACAAAAGACAAAAUCAGCUACCGGGCUGUUCCUGGGCAAACCCAUAUGGGUAAGCCCAAAUGGGAGUCAUUUGGGACCUAUAUGGGUUAGCCCAUAUGGGAAUGCCCUUAAGGGUCCCAUAUAGGUCCCAUAUUAUUGAGUUAUCAGGAAAAAGAUAUAAACUUUUAUUUAUUUGAUUAAAAACUAAUUUCUUAAAACGUAUGUAUGAUAAAUUUGAUCUCAACUGCUAAUAUUUUAUCCAAAAAUAUCAACUCAAUGCAUAAGCAAAUAAUAUGCAGCCCAUAUGGGUCCCAUACCGGUCCCAUUUUGGCCGCCCAACAAAGGACAAAAUCAGCUAUCGGGCGCACUUUUUUUUUUUGAAAAUUCUGUUUUUGAUAUGGCUUUGUUUUAAAUAAUGUAUAUACUAUGAUUAAUAUGAAGUUAUUUUCAAGAGAUAAUUUCAAUUUAAAUAAUCGCGCAGAAAAAUAAAGAAUUUAAAUAAUAUGCGCAUGCGCAGAUGUUAAUUCCGCCUCGCGAAAACAUUCAAAACAAAAACACUCGAAACGAAAAUAAAAUAUUCACCACCACCUGGUUUGCCAACAUCGUCUUUACAAGGAAUGUCCAGCAGUGCAUGACAGAGGCCGGUCACUCCCAUUAAGUCCAGCUGAAGAGCCUUCCCAGUUCAUAGGACAAAAUGUAGUUACACAGAUUUUAACGGUGUUGGAAACAAUGAGAGACGAGAACAGGGAAAUGAAGUGGAUGCUGCAGCGGCUCUUGGCUAGGUCAGCUACUGAUGACGAGCCAAUGCAACUGCCAGAGAACAUCAGUCUUCCAAUUGGAACAUUUGAGCAAAUGGAUGAGUUUGAAGAGCAUCUUGGUGAUGAAGCUACGAUCCAUCUUUUCUAGGACUGCUGCAUAGUUCAAGCUUUUUUAUCAAAUAUAUUAAGCAAUGUUGUAAAUGUAUUUGACAGUUCUUUCUCCAUUGAUCCUAAACCAUUCCAGGGGUGGCGAAAUCAAAUGUCCGAGUUGCCCGAGUCGUACAUUUGCUUGUCUGGGCAACUGAUUUUUUUCAAUUAAGUUGUCCGUGGACAACAAGUUUUUUUAAAGUCUGGUCCAGGUAUACAAAAACAAUACACUGUAUUAAAGCCGUAAUUAAGUUUUACAAAACCGGAUGUUGACACGCGAUAACAUUGUCAGUGCUAUUUGCGGAGCGAUCAAGCUAAAAUACGGGCACUCUCCUGCGCAGUGAUCUCCCUUAUUCUAUAAGAGACCGGGAGCAUGCUGCAUUUUCAACAUUCGGCCUGACUGUUAGACAGUGUACAGACUGGUCUCUUUAUAUUUACAAUCAGACGGAAAUCAAAAGUAUCAAACUAAGAUAAUCAAAACACGGUCUACCUUGUUAUUUGAGACGACUUUAAUGGUAAAGAUGGAACAUUUUGUUUUUUUUUAAUCUUCAACAACAGAGCAGAAACACGAAGCUUUGAGCAGUCCACCUCCCAUAAAUACUAAGAAAGAUUAUGAUACAAAAUAUGAUCUAAGUAAACGCACCAGAACUUUAAAAAAAACUUGGCUAACAGAUUUUCAAUGGUUACCAGUUGAUGAUAAUCAAAUUGCUACCAGUAGCGGUGCAGAGCCUCAGUCUGAUGAGGUCGACAUAUUGGACUAGUUUAAUUUGUUAAGAUUACCGUGUACUUUUGUUCAACACAUGUUUUAAUAGCACUAGCUUUGCAAGAUUAAAAGUUUGAUAAAGUCUUUAUAUUGUUUAUAAUAUACUGCUAUAAUGAAUGUACCAUUGAAAUACAACUAUAAACAAAACAAGCAAAUCAUACUCAUUUUGAUAUAUUCCACAUUAUUUUACAUUAAUCAAUAAAUGCGUUUAUAAUUUAAAUAAACAUUAACGGACAAGUAUAGUUCAGCAACGGACAAGUUAAAUUUCCUAAAUGGUUGUCCGUGGACAAGUAUAGUUUUUUUAGAUUUCGCCAACCCUGCAUUCCUUUAAGGCUCAUCUUCUAAGAAAGCAUACAAUCUUUUUUAUCUGGAAAUGAAAUGGUAUAUAUUCCUUUGCAAAAGAAGAAACAGCAUUCCAGUUUUUGAAGGUUUUAAAAGACAUAUAUAUAUAUCAUGUGCAAUUAUGAAAUACACUAGAAUGUAUGAAGAUAUCAAAGAUAAUAAUAUGGACUUAAUCUUGAACAAGGAUUUGCCAUUUAUUUGAGUUUUGGAUUUUUUUGCAGGGUUUUUAAUUUCUAGUUUUUAUUUAAUGCUUUCCGGUGGUUUAUAGAGAAAUAUCAGUGAAUUAAAACUGGUUCAAACAGUGAAAAUUAUCAGUGAGAAUUAUCGAUAAUUUUCAUUGUUUACUGUGAAAUGAUGUCAUUUUUUGACGAAAUGACGUCAUUAUCCCAGCAAAAUUCUUUAGUUAAACUCUUUAACAAUGUAUAUAAACGGUGAAAAAUGCAUUAAAUAAAAAGAAAAUUUGUUGGAUUCGGUGGAUUAUCAAUUUUAAUUAACUCGUGUUCAUAGAGAAUAUAUAUUUUCUAUGAUCACUCGUGAAUUAAAAUCGAUAAUCCACCGGAUCCAACAAAUAUCCUCUAUAUAAAAUAUUUUGUUUAGUCUUGCAAGUAUGUUUUCUACAAAUGUUCUUUGAGUACAUGGUGUAUUAUUUGUAUUUAUUUUAUACUUUCCGGUGGUUUAUAGAGAAAUAUCAGUGAAUUAAAACUGAUAAUUUCACUGUUUCAAACAAUGAAAAUUAUCAGUGAAAAUUAUCGAUAAUUUUCACUGUUUAUGUUAAAUGACGUCAUUUUUUGGACGAAAUGACGUCAUUUUCCCAACGUAAUUCUUUAGUUAAACUCUUUAACAAUGUAUAUAAACUGUGAAAUAAAGCAUAAAAUAAAAAGAAAAUUUGUUGGGUUCGGUGGAUUAUCGAUUUUAAUUCACUCGUGAUCAUAUAAAAUGUAUAUUUUCACUCGUGGCUGCGCCACUCGUGAAAAUAUUAUUUUCUAUGAUCACUCGUGAAUUAAAAUCGAUAAUCCAUCGAAUCCAACAAAUAUCCUCUAUUGGUUAGAGAUUUUAUAUGCAAGGGUAUGCUUUUGAGUAAUGUGUAGUACAUCAGGAAAAUACUUGAAGGUAUUUUGUAUAAUUAUGUAAUAUAUAUUUAUUAUCAAAAUAAUAGAAGUCCUUAAUUCUAUAGUUGUGUAACUGGUCAACAUAUAUAAUGUUAUAGAAAAACGUCUUAUUGUUUGAAGUUAUGUCUUUAUUGUAUUAUGAAAUAGUUUUACUGUUGGUUUGGGUUUAUAGAUUAUGAGUUUCAUUACUCCUUGCAGAUAGAACAUUAGAUAGAAACAUGUGUUUGUAAGCAACUUCAUGUAAAAGCGGAUAGAACAUUAGAUAGAAACAUGUUUUCGUUAGCAACUUCAUGUAAAAUAUUUUUGCUGAUGUUACAUUCAAAAAGUUAGGAAUCACCAUAUUAUUUUAGAAUUCUCUGGUAGAAUAGUUAACUUGGGAUCCUCCUGCUAUGUAUGUAUGUAUCCAUGUAUAUGUGUGUAAUACUUUAUGUGAAUAAAAGUUGAGAGUA